UGGGGAAUAUUGGACAAUGGGCGCAAGCCUGAUCCAGCCACGCCGCGUGAGUGAUGAAGGCCUUCGGGUCGUAAAGCUCUGUGGGGAGAGACGAACCGCUGAUGGUUAAUAGCCAUCAGCAUGACGGUAUCUCCUUAGCAAGCACCGGCUAACUUCGUGCCAGCAGCCGCGGUAAUACGAAGGGUGCAAACGUUGCUCGGAAUUAUUGGGCGUAAAGCGCAUGUAGGCGGCCAGACAAGUCGGAUGUGAAAUCCCUCGGCUUAACCAAGGAAGUGCAUUCGAAACUGUCUGGCUUGAGUACCAAAGAGGAUCGUAGAAUUCCCGGUGUAGAGGUGAAAUUCGUAGAUAUCGGGAGGAAUACCGGUGGCGAAGGCAGCCCCCUGGGCUAACACUGACGCUCAUGCACGAAAGCGUGGGGAGCAAACAGGAUUAGAUACCCACGUAGUCCCUGAGCGGGCUGGCAAGGCGCAU
rnacentral:rRNA from 1 species